CAUCAGGAAUAGAAGUGAGUGUUAGAAUAUAGAUAUGCAGGCCUGCCUGUAAAGGCCUAUACUUUAAGAACUUAUGUGUAUUUUUAUCACUUCGCUAGUUAUAGAGGUAU